rnacentral:lncRNA from 1 species
AACUACUCCAUUAAACGUAUUAAUGGAUAGAUCUGGCAUUCUCUAUUUCACUUUUUUCCUAGUGCUUUUCAGCUUCGUUCUUAUUUCUUCCAACAGUAAGUAAUUAAAUGUUAUUAUUUAUUUAUUUUGGUGGAAAGAAAAAUUUCUUAUUUAUUUCUCCAAUUAGUUAGUACAUACUUACAUUGCUACUUUAUUUUCAUGUUCUUUUUGUAUGUUUGACUUUUUGUUAGAAUCUUACAUUCGUUAAGUUCAUACAUUAUUGUUAGAGGUAAAGCCAGAAUUUGAAUCUUGUGCGUUCGAAAUUUUAAUCCGUUUAUAUUACCGAGUUUUAAAUUAAUUAUAUAUAUAUAUAUAUAUAUAUAUAUCUUAAAAUAAAUAUAAAAUUUGAAUAAAAGUUAUUAAUUCGAUCGAACCUGCAAGACACAUGCUAGCUUCCCCCUAAUUAUUGUCUCUCUCUAUGUUUCUUGACAAUUAUCACCUCUUUUAACUACCAUUCUUAUUUCUUGCUUCAAAUGCAAAAUAUUUUUAAUUUGUUGAUAUUUCUAUAAAUGUUAAAAGAUAAAAAUUAUUUUUCACUCCUCAAUCAAACACACUAAAGUAGUAAAAAUAUUUUCUUUUGUAUCAAACACACCUACAUAAUUAAGAAUCUAGUUCUUAAGUUGGUAUCAUUUCUGACAUGUACAGGUUUAUAAAGGCAAAGUCGGAAUUCAAAUUUAUGAGUUUUAAAUUUUAAGGGACAUGACAACUUACUAGAUGGAAAUAAGUUAUAUAUAUAUAUAUAUAUAAAGAAUUGAACGAAUAUAUAAUACAAAUAAAAGUUAUUGAAUUCUGCCAAACGCGUAAUUGAUACGCUAUUUGUUUAUGCAGAAAUGAAAAGAGUGGAAGCUGGACUUUGUAAAAGGUGGAGUGGAACAUUUAAAGGGCAAUGCAUAAUUCCCUACGAUUGUGACUCGACAUGUAGGUUAAAAGAGAAGGCUAUAGAAGGUGAAUGUGAUUGGGUUGGAAUUAAAAAAGGAUAUGUUUGCUUCUGUAUCGUUGGUUGUUAAAUAAUCAUACUUUUUUAUAAUAUCUUUAUAUAAUAAUAUUUUACUAUAAAAAUUAAACUUUUUUCAGAACAAAUUUUCAUAUUAUAUUAUGAUAUAUAUUUUUUAUAAUAAUACUUUAUUAUAAUAUUCAAAAAUAUUCAAAAAUAAAUAAGAUUGUUAUAAAAAGAUUUGGCAUUAAUCAAACACUCAAUUAUAUCGUUCAUAUAAAUAAAAGCUGAUCAUAAAUAAGUGAAAGUGAAAAUAGCAGUUUCGAUCCAUGAGUUAUUGUUUUGUUGUAAUUUUGAUCCUUAUAUUACUUGACUAAUCAUAUUUAAACUUUAAUUUAAUCAUUAAAGAUAAUGGACGUCUACCUUUUUACUUCAAAAUUACCAAAUGAUCAUGCCAUAACUCAUUUUCUCAUCUUUCCCUUUUAUCCAUUCAUUAGAGAUGCCAAAUGAGCGGGAUUGUUGUACAAAUAACUGAUCAAAUUUGUUGUUUAUUUUUUUCAUUGGUAUAUAUAAAAUAUACACUGAUUAUACAUAAUUACACGCAAUUACCACAACGGUCAUGCCAUUACUCUCUUUUCCCAUCUUUCCCUUUUACCCUCGUUUAGAGAGGCCAAAUGAGCGAUAUUGUUACACAAAGGCGCGGGCUCAGAUUUGUUGCUUACGUUUUCUAAUCGGUAUAUAUAGAUUAUAUAUAGUUAUACAGAUAUAAUAGAUGAAUACAUAUAUUAUGCAUAAAUUAUACAUAUACAUAUAUAUAUACAUAUAUAUAUAUAUAUAAUAUAUUUGUUGGCUAUUUUUAGUUUAAGAUAUUCAGUGGCGGCUAUUUGAAUUAAUUCUUCUAGUUGAUAGGAGUUUAGAAAAGCUCGAUAAAAUUUAAGAAAAUCAUUAGUAAUGGAGAACAUAGGUAUUAGACUAAACAAAUCCAAUUAAAGAUACAUAAUUAACAAAUCCGCUGCUAAGAAAUAAGUAGGAACAUAAUUAUAAGCAUGUUCUACAGUAACAAACUUCAUGUUGAUCACAAAGUCCAUCAAAGGCACCCUCAAAGUUUUUGCAUCUGAAGGCGCAAGAAUAACAAGUUCCUGCUGAAUUACUGAUAUAAGUGCAUGAAUCAGCUUGAGCUUCCAUUUCUACAACAAUAAAUAAAUAAAUAAAAAUAUCUUUCUGAAUUUAUUAAGAUUAUAGAAUUAUACAAAUUAAUCGACCAACAACAACAAUAAAUAAAUAAAUAAAAAUAUCUUUCUGAAUUUAUUAAGAUUAUAGAAUUAUACAAAUUAAUCGACCAACAUUGAUAAUAAAACUGGAAAUAUAAGUUCUGAUGGUGUAAAGAGUUUUACGCUGUGAUCAAGUCUUUAAUUUUAAGAAUAUAAAUUUCACUCAUUAUGAAGAGUUACCUGUAAAUAUAUUUUGGGUGACCUAAUUAUAAAUGUAAAAGUUUUAUGAUAUAUAUAUAUAUAUAGUGUAUAUAUGCUUUAAUAAAGUAGCUCGGGAAAACCUUAAGACAGGAUAUCGGGGCGAAGGUAUGAAGGUAUGGCAAUGCAGCCCAGUUUGGUCUGAGGAGGAGUGAGACCGUGAAAGCUGCAACAAAAGGACAUGACUUUCACCAAUUUCUUAAGUGAGAAGUGAAUGUUGGCAGCUACUUUCUUAUAGUUAUGUAUCCCGAUCUUCGAGUUCUAGUUCAAAAUUGUUACAAUAUUCCUCCAUAGGAUGUAAUGAUGACACCUAACAUCUACGACUAGGUAAGCCCAACACUUACUAAAAUUAAUUGAUAGAGAUUAACCAACAUAACUAUUAAGCAGAAAUUAGAUAUUUCUAAUUGAACCCAAUAUAUUCAACAUACAAUAAUGUUGAAGUAUUGGGCCAACCCAAUGUAAAGGGCAAGCAGCCCAAUGUGCAAGACAAGCUGAUAGCCACAGACAUUACAUAAGUAGCCA